GGUUAAGCGACUAAGCGUACACGGUGGAUGCCCUGGCAGUCAGAGGCGAUGAAGGACGUGCUAAUCUGCGAAAAGCGUCGGUAAGGUGAUAUGAACCGUUAUAACCGGCGAUGUCCGAAUGGGGAAACCCAGUGCAAUUCGUUGCACUAUCGUUAACUGAAUACAUAGGUUAACGAGGCGAACCGGGGGAACUGAAACAUCUAAGUACCCCGAGGAAAAGAAAUCAACCGAGAUUCCCCCAGUAGCGGCGAGCGAACGGGGAGCAGCCCAGAGUCUGAAUCAGCUUGUGUGUUAGUGGAACGGUCUGGAAAGUCCGACGGUACAGGGUGAUAGUCCCGUACACCAAAAUGCACAGGUUGUGAACUCGAAGAGUAGGGCGGGACACGUGGUAUCCUGUCUGAAUAUGGGGGGACCAUCCUCCAAGGCUAAAUACUCCUGACUGACCGAUAGUGAACCAGUACCGUGAGGGAAAGGCGAAAAGAACCCCGGCGAGGGGAGUGAAAAAGAACCUGAAACCGUGUACGUACAAGCAGUGGGAGCACCUUUAUGGUGUGACUGCGUACCUUUUGUAUAAUGGGUCAGCGACUUAUAUUCUGUAGCAAGGUUAACCGUAUAGGGGAGCCGCAGGGAAACCGAGUCUUAACUGGGCGUUAAGUUGCAGGGUAUAGACCCGAAACCCGGUGAUCUAGCCAUGGGCAGGUUGAAGGUUGGGUAACACUAACUGGAGGACCGAACCGACUAAUGUUGAAAAAUUAGCGGAUGACUUGUGGCUGGGGGUGAAAGGCCAAUCAAACCGGGAGAUAGCUGGUUCUCCCCGAAAGCUAUUUAGGUAGCGCCUCGUGAACUCAUCUUCGGGGGUAGAGCACUGUUUCGGCUAGGGGGUCAUCCCGACUUACCAACCCGAUGCAAACUACGAAUACCGAAGAAUGUUAUCACGGGAGACACACGGCGGGUGCUAACGUCCGUCGUGAAGAGGGAAACAACCCAGACCGCCAGCUAAGGUCCCAAAGUCAUGGUUAAGUGGGAAACGAUGUGGGAAGGCACAGACAGCCAGGAUGUUGGCUUAGAAGCAGCCAUCAUUUAAAGAAAGCGUAAUAGCUCACUGGUCGAGUCGGCCUGCGCGGAAGAUGUAACGGGGCUAAACCAUGCACCGAAGCUGCGGCAGCGACACUAUGUGUUGUUGGGUAGGGGAGCGUUCUGUAAGCCUGCGAAGGUGACCUGUGAGGGCUGCUGGAGGUAUCAGAAGUGCGAAUGCUGACAUAAGUAACGAUAAAGCGGGUGAAAAGCCCGCUCGCCGGAAGACCAAGGGUUCCUGUCCAACGUUAAUCGGGGCAGGGUGAGUCGACCCCUAAGGCGAGGCCGAAAGGCGUAGUCGAUGGGAAACAGGUUAAUAUUCCUGUACUUGGUGUUACUGCGAAGGGGGGACGGAGAAGGCUAUGUUAGCCGGGCGACGGUUGUCCCGGUUUAAGCAUGUAGGCUGGUUAUCCAGGCAAAUCCGGAUAAUCAAGGCUGAGGUGUGAUGACGAGGCACUACGGUGCUGAAGUAACAAAUGCCCUGCUUCCAGGAAAAGCCUCUAAGCAUCAGGUAACAUCAAAUCGUACCCCAAACCGACACAGGUGGUCAGGUAGAGAAUACCAAGGCGCUUGAGAGAACUCGGGUGAAGGAACUAGGCAAAAUGGUGCCGUAACUUCGGGAGAAGGCACGCUGGUGUGUAGGUGAAGUCCCUGCGGAUGGAGCUGAGACCAGUCGAAGAUACCAGCUGGCUGCAACUGUUUAUUAAAAACACAGCACUGUGCAAACACGAAAGUGGACGUAUACGGUGUGACGCCUGCCCGGUGCCGGAAGGUUAAUUGAUGGGGUUAUCCGUAAGGAGAAGCUCUUGAUCGAAGCCCCGGUAAACGGCGGCCGUAACUAUAACGGUCCUAAGGUAGCGAAAUUCCUUGUCGGGUAAGUUCCGACCUGCACGAAUGGCGUAAUGAUGGCCAGGCUGUCUCCACCCGAGACUCAGUGAAAUUGAACUCGCUGUGAAGAUGCAGUGUACCCGCGGCAAGACGGAAAGACCCCGUGAACCUUUACUAUAGCUUGACACUGAACAUUGAGCCUUGAUGUGUAGGAUAGGUGGGAGGCUUUGAAGCGUGGACGCCAGUCUGCGUGGAGCCAACCUUGAAAUACCACCCUUUAAUGUUUGAUGUUCUAACGUUGGCCCCUUAUCGGGGUUGCGGACAGUGUCUGGUGGGUAGUUUGACUGGGGCGGUCUCCUCCCAAAGCGUAACGGAGGAGCACGAAGGUUAGCUAAUCCUGGUCGGACAUCAGGAGGUUAGUGCAAUGGCAUAAGCUAGCUUGACUGCGAGCGUGACGGCGCGAGCAGGUGCGAAAGCAGGUCAUAGUGAUCCGGUGGUUCUGAAUGGAAGGGCCAUCGCUCAACGGAUAAAAGGUACUCCGGGGAUAACAGGCUGAUACCGCCCAAGAGUUCAUAUCGACGGCGGUGUUUGGCACCUCGAUGUCGGCUCAUCACAUCCUGGGGCUGAAGUAGGUCCCAAGGGUAUGGCUGUUCGCCAUUUAAAGUGGUACGCGAGCUGGGUUUAGAACGUCGUGAGACAGUUCGGUCCCUAUCUGCCGUGGGCGCUGGAGAAUUGAGGGGGGCUGCUCCUAGUACGAGAGGACCGGAGUGGACGCAUCACUGGUGUUCGGGUUGUCAUGCCAAUGGCACUGCCCGGUAGCUAAAUGCGGAAGAGAUAAGUGCUGAAAGCAUCUAAGCACGAAACUUGCCCCGAGAUGAGUUCUCCCUGAGACUUUAAGUCUCCUGAAGGAACGUUGAAGACGACGACGUUGAUAGGCCGGGUGUGUAAGCGCAGCGAUGCGUUGAGCUAACCGGUACUAAUGAACCGUGAGGCUUAACCUU
rnacentral:rRNA from 1 species